rnacentral:rRNA from 1 species
UACAGAGGGUGCGAGCGUUAAUCGGAAUUACUGGGCGUAAAGCGCGCGUAGGCGGCUUUUCAAGUCGAUUGUGAAAUCCCCGGGCUUAACCUGGGAACUGCAGUCGAGACUGUCUAGCUAGAGUAUGGGAGAGGGAAGUGGAAUUUCAGGUGUAGCGGUGAAAUGCGUAGAUAUCUGAAGGAACAUCAGUGGCGAAAGCGACUUCCUGGACCAAUACUGACGCUCAUGUGCGAAAGCGUGGGGAGCAAACA